rnacentral:rRNA from 1 species
ACUCCUACGGGAGGCAGCAGUGAGGAAUAUUGGACAAUGGGUGGAAGCCUGAUCCAGCCAUCCCGCGUGCAGGAAGACGGCCCUAUGGGUUGUAAACUGCUUUUAUCUGGGGAUAAACCUACUUACGUGUAAGUAGCUGAAGGUACCAGAAGAAUAAGCACCGGCUAACUCCGUGCCAGCAGCCGCGGUAAUACGGAGGGUGCAAGCGUUAUCCGGAUUUAUUGGGUUUAAAGGGUCCGUAGGCGGACUGAUAAGUCAGUGGUGAAAUCCGACAGCUUAACUGUCGAACUGCCAUUGAUACUGUUAGUCUUGAGUAAGGUUGAAGUGGCUGGAAUAAGUAGUGUAGCGGUGAAAUGCAUAGAUAUUACUUAGAACACCAAUUGCGAAGGCAGGUCACUAAGUCUUAACUGACGCUGAUGGACGAAAGCGUGGGGAGCGAACAGGAUUAGAAACCCCUGUAGUCC